rnacentral:rRNA from 1 species
CGUCAGACUUCCAAGAAAAGCUCGCAAUGUCAUAAAUAAAAAUGCCUGUACCAUAACCGACACAGGUGGGUAGGUAGAGUAUACUAAGGGGCGCGAGAUAACUCUCUCUAAGGAACUCGGCAAAAUGACUCCGUAACUUCGGGAGAAGGAGUGCCUUAUUUAUAAGGUUGCAAUAACAAGAUCCAAGCAACUGUUUAUCAAAAACACAGGUCUCCGCUAAGUCGUAAGACGAUGUAUGGGGGCUGACGCCUGCCCAGUGCCAGAAGGUUAAAGAAGUUGGUUAGUGUAUGCGAAGCUGAUGACUGAAGCCCUGGUGAACGGCGGCCGUAACUAUAACGGUCCUAAGGUAGCGAAAUUCCUUGUCGGGUAAGUUCCGACCCGCACGAAAGGCGUAAUGAUUUGGAUACUGUCUCGGAGAGAGGCUCGGUGAAAUAGACUUGUCUGUGAAGAUGCGGACUACCUGCACCAGGACAGAAAGACCCUAUGAAGCUUUACUGUAACUUGAAAUUGGAAUUGGACUUUGCUUGCGCAGUAUAGGUGGGAAGCGUUGAAGAUAUUCUUGCGGGAGUAUUGGAGCUAUCAGUGAGAUACCACUCUUGUAAUGUUAGAUUUCUAACUUUGAACCAUAAUCUGGUCAAAGAACAGUUUCAGGUGGGCAGUUUGACUGGGGCGGUCGCCUCCCAAAUGGUAACGGAGGCGUACAAAGGUUUCCUCUGAACGGAUAGAAAUCGUAUCUAGAGUGUAAAGGCAUAAGGAAGCUUGACUGUGAGACCUACAAGUCGAGCAGGGACGAAAGUCGGUCUUAGUGAUCUGACGGUACUGAGUGGAAAGGCCGUCACUCAACGGAUAAAAGUUACUCUAAGGAUAACAGGCUGAUCUCCCCCAAGAGUUCACAUCGACGGGGAGGUUUGGCACCUCGAUGUCGGCUCAUCGCAUCCUGGGGCGGUAGUACGUCCCAAGGGUUGGGCUGUUCGCCCAUGAAAGCGGUACGCGAGCUGGGUUCAGAACGUCGUGAGACAGUUCGGUCCAUAUCCGGUGUAGGCGUUAGAAUAUUGAGAGGAGCCUUCUUUAGUACGAGAGGACCGAGAAGGACACACCGCUGGUGUACCAGUUAUCGUGCCAACGGUAAACGCUGGGUAGCUAUGUGUGGAGUGGAUAACCGCUGAAAGCAUCUAAGUGGGAAGCCCACCUCAAGAUGAGUAUUCAC